AAUAAAAUCUCGUAUACGGUUUGAGAAUUAUUUUACAAUUAUUUGAAAUUUAUACGUAAGUAUUAAAUUCACCAAUCAGAACCGUUUAUGUUAAUACGUAUGCAACUCGAUCUGCGUGCAUUUUACUGUUGCUGUUAUUCACUAUCGUCUAGUGUAAAGUACGGGUCAGAUGUACAGGAUAUCCUCGUUCAGGCGAGAACUUACCUUAUAGAGGAAAGUGAUCCGUAUAAACUCUAAAUUGACGUUCUGAAAUCAGUAGAAAAUUUCUUAAGAACAAUGUAUGAACGAUUAUUGUUUUGGAGCACAGUUUGUCUUCUUGUAAUCGG